rnacentral:rRNA from 1 species
CCUACGGGCGGCAGCAGUGGGGAAUAUUGCACAAUGGGCGCAAGCCUGAUGCAGCCAUGCCGCGUGUGUGAAGAAGGCCUUCGGGUUGUAAAGCACUUUCAGCGGGGAGGAAGGCGUUAAGGUUAAUAACCUUGGCGAUUGACGUUACCCGCAGAAGAAGCACCGGCUAACUCCGUGCCAGCAGCCGCGGUAAUACGGAGGGUGCAAGCAUUAAUCGGAAUUACUGGGCGUAAAGCGCACGCAGGCGGUCUGUCAAGUCGGAUGUGAAACCCCCGGGCUCAACCUGGGAACUGCAUUCGAAACUGGCAGGCUAGAGUCUUGUAGAGGGGGGUAGAAUUCCAGGUGUAGCGGUGAAAUGCGUAGAGAUCUGGAGGAAUACCGGUGGCGAAGGCGGCCCCCUGGACAAAGACUGACGCUCAGGUGCGAAAGCGUGGGGAGCAAACAGGAUUAGAUACCCGGGUAGUC